rnacentral:lncRNA from 1 species
UGAUCUGCGCCAAUGGUUCGGCCUCCACCCACUUGGUGAAGUAGUUGAUGGCGACAACGAUGAACUUCCUCUGGCCUGACGCUGGUGGAAAAGGACCGAGAAUGUCGACCCCCCACUGGGCGAAGGGCCACGGAGCGACAAUAGGGGCAAUUUGGCUGGCCGGUUGGUGUUGAAUAUUGGCAUACUUUUGACAUGGCUCGCACCUCCGGACCAACUCGGCUGCAUCCCUCUUCAUGG